GUUCCACAAGUGCAGCACGUACUCCCGCGGUCCCUCCUCCCAGAUUUCCUUGCAUUCGGACCAAAUCAUCCCUGCGGGAAAGUGAGAAGUUCUGUUUUAGAAAAAGAAUCCUGAUUUCUACUAGCAGCCAAGAUGGAGCAAUACACUGGGAAAAAGAAAAGAGACUCUUUUCAGGCUUUGGACACCUCACAGCCGUGUGAGCCUUCAGUAAAGAGAAACAGCGAGGCUGCCAUCUACCUCAGAGAGUGAUUCUGUUUCCUAUUUAGAGAGAAGUUGGAUGCUCUUUAUUCCCUCAACUUUUCCCUUAAUUCCCUCCACUUUGCUCCUGUUGGUGGUAGUUAGUGCUUUUUUGCCAAAUAGCUCCACCCCCCCCCUCCUUUCAAAUGCCUGACAGGAUUAUACAGGACUUCCUGGUCCCUUUUGUGGUGGGGUGGGGAUGUGACCAGCAGUGGUCAGUGAAUUGUAAGCAGAAAAACUGUGUGUCGCUUCUACGUGAAAGCCUUUAUUGCUGAUGGGAGACUCUCCGGGGCCGGAUCUCCCUUUGGCAGGGUGGAAACGUUUGAGCUAGUGGCUAGUCUGUCAGCCUGGGCUCCUGAGUGAAGCCUCUGGAUUCUGUUGCAUGACAGAAAUAAGAUGAGCCAUAAAUAAACCUUCUUUUGUUAAAAGCCACCACAGCUUUGUUUUUGCUUGUUAACACAGCAGGUGUUUAUCUACCUUGACUAAUAGCCUGUCCCUUUUGCUCAAUAAUUAUGACACAUCCACAUCCAACCUUUUUGCCUUCCAGCCUUUCUUAGGGGAAGAGCUGUCUCUCUUUCUAUCCUAAUUUUACAACCACUCUGGUUAAGACCUCCAGUGGCUUCCUGUUGUUCCUAAAAAAGGGACAAAACCAACAUUCUUUAGCACGAUCUAUAGACCUCUGCAUGGUCUGGCCCCUGUCCGCUUCUUCGGACUCAUCCCACACCCUGCUUUUCCUCAUGCCUUCUGACUUGGCCACAUUUGCAUUUGUCCAGUUCCUCUUAUAUGUUGUAUUUCUUCUCACCACAGGGCCUUUGUAUAUGCUUUGAGCCACUUUGAACAUGUUCUUUCUGCCAGAAAUGUCCUCCCCACUUCUGGUUAAGCUUGAGUUCCUCUGAGAAGCCUUUAUGGACCUCUCUGAUGAGGUCACAUCUACUUUUUGAAGAUACAAUACUGCAUUUUUCUGUUUCAUAACACUUCAGUUGGAACAUUACAAUAUAUUGGGGGUGAUGUUUUGAUUAAUAUCUGUCUUCCCCGUGAUGAGUGACAUCCUGUCAUUUUUAUUCAUUACAACACCCUCAGUAAUGAGCACAGCAUCCUUUGUGAUCACUCAAUGAAAGUUUGUUGAAUGCAGGUAUGGAUGCAUGAAUACAGUUAUACUGUCCAGUUUGGUAACCACUGGCCACAUGUGCCUACUGAAAUUUUUAUUGAACAGUUAAAAAUUCAGUUUCAUAAUUACAUUAACUACAUUGCAAGUGCGAGUUAGCCAUGUGAGGCUGGUGGCUACCAUACUGGAUAGUAGAAAAUAGAACGUCUCCAACAUCACAGACACUUCUCUAAGAUUGCGCUGGCGGGGUAAAGUCAAGGGCUCGUACGUGGCUUACAAUACCCCAAAGGAUCUGGUUCUGACAAGCCUCCCAGUUUGUUUCUUUCCCACAGCAGCACAGCCACGGGGAGAUGCUCACCCCCUCUGCACAGGUUCCUUUCCGAAACAUGCCACUCUUCCUUAGAUGUCUGUGCCUUUUCAACUUGAACCUCUCUCCACAUAAAUUGCCAUCCCAUCCAGAACCUCUCAUCCUUUAACCCUCAUCUCAAGCAUUUCUCCUCUUGGGAACCUUGUCCUGAGGUCCAGACUGAGCUGGUCAGUGCUUCCUCUGACCUCCAUGCUAUCCCCUUUCAUUCCUGUUUGCCUUGUUCAGGCAGGAUUGCAAUGUUUGUUCACACCCCUCUCUCCACUUCUCCACGAGCCCCUUGGGGGCAAGGCAUGGGUCUUCUCAUUCUCUCCAGGGCUCAGGUGAGAACUGGUGGUGUAGUAGACAUCGCUGAAUGUUUAAGUGAUGAGUGAGGCAGUGAAUGAAAAUCACAGGGGGCGUUUCCUUGGUACAACGGUAUGAGGAAAAAGGGAACUGUGUUCCAAGUAGGGCUAGUGAGGGUCCCACCUGCAUUCCCCACCCCCUCCCCUGGUCCUGCCCCAGGUCUUUAUUUCCUGUGAUGCCAGCUUUCUGGGCCACGAAUCACCCAUGAGGUUGGCACCUGUGAAAUUCUGUAAUCUGGCGGGUGCAGCUGAGUGGAGCUCUUCUUGAGGAGAGUGGGUGGAUCUCAUCAGUUGGAAGGAAAGAUGUUUGGCACCAUGGUUAUAUCCUCCACAUCAAGCCACGUGCCAAGAUGCUAGAACACGGGCACACCCGGAAGUCUCAAAGAGGUAACUGCCAUGAAUUCCACCUUGCUCAGCUAGCGAAGUGCAGAGGCUGUUGCCGUUACGGUCAGAGCAUAUCUGUCUGCACCUUACCCAUCACACUGAUGGCUCUUUUAGGGUAAAACUGUCCUCAGGAUCCCUGGCUGGCUGAUCACUGCCUGUAGAGCUUAUAGGUGGUGGCUAAAACAACUUGUCCAA